rnacentral:rRNA from 1 species
UACAGAGGGUGCGAGCGUUAAUCGGAAUUACUGGGCGUAAAGCGUGCGCAGGCGGUUUUGUAAGUCUGUCGUGAAAUCCCCGGGCUCAACCUGGGAAUUGCGAUGGAGACUGCAAGGCUAGAAUCUGGCAAAGGGGGGUAGAAUUCCACGUGUAGCAGUGAAAUGCGUAGAGAUGUGGAGGAACACCGAUGGCGAAGGCAGCCCCCUGGGUCAAGAUUGACGCUCAUGCACGAAAGCGUGGGGAGCAAACAGG